rnacentral:misc_RNA from 1 species
AUGAUGUGGCUGUGUGUCGCGGUGGGGGUGGGGAUUUUAGCCGUCGUUUUUGUCAACUACCCCCUCCCCCCUCUUACCCCUGUCAUGACAGCGUGGAAGAAUGGAGGAGGGUAUUUCAAAUUCAAGACCCAUGAUAUCUUUUACAGAGUGGAAAAGGGAAGUAACCCCGCUGGAGGGCCUGUCCUGACCAUACACGGAUUCCCUUCAUCUAGUCAUGAUUGGAGCAAGGUGCUUGGAGGUCUGGAGAAGCAACACAGUGAGGUGGUCCUGUUUGACAUGAUUGGCUUUGGCCUGAGUGAUAAACCAGUUGAUCAUGAAUACUCUAUCAUGGAACAAGCAGACAUUGCUGAGGAAUUACUGAAGAAACUAAAAAUUACACAAGUCCAUCUUUUGUCACAUGACUAUGGUGAUACAGUGGCACUGGAGUUAUUAGCAAGAUUCAACCAGAAAACGACCAACUUGAAGAUUCUUUCCCUGUGCUUAAGUAAUGGAGGCAUAUUUCCUGAAACCAAUUUCCCUCGACCUUCACAAAAAUUACUGACCAUUCCAUACCUGGGAGCUGUCCUAUGUAGAUUGUCCUUCUACAGGGCCUUCAAAAGAACGUUUGGGGAAGUUUUUGGAGUCAACACACAACCCACAGAAUCUGAAUUCAGAGAUUUCUAUUCAGCUAUUCUUCAUAACAGUGGCUACAUCAUCAAUUACAAACUCCUAGGAUACAUAGCAGAAAGAAGUCAACAUAAAGAGAGAUGGGUGGGAAGUCUACAGCAAACUCACAUUCCUGUCCACAUGAUCUACGGUCCCUCUGACCCAGUUAACCCGUCUGUGUUCAUCAGUCACUACAAGAAGACAGUCCCUAAGCAUGGUAUAACUGUACUGCCAGCAGAGAUUUCACACUACCCCCAAUGGGAGGCCCCGGUGGAGUUCCUAAAAGCUUACACAUCAUUUCAAAAGCAGUUAUCUGUAAAAUAAACAACGAAGGACUCAAAUUUUAAGUUUAUUGAACAGUUCAACAAGUGAAGACUUAUUCAUAGUAAUGCAUGCACUAAAUCUGCAUUAUCACAUGUUCUUAGAAACAGAAGACAGAACGAUGAGCAACCAGUAACACUUGUACACGAUCUGUAGAUUGGAAAAAUAAAAUAAUACAUGUAAAUACUU